GUUUGGGUAGAUAUAGGACGAGAUUAACAUGUAAUAGCCUAUAGCGAACUGACUUGUUAACUCGAACCUCAGAUUAUCUAUUCAAAUCGUAUUAUGCUUUACUUGACUGUCUGAAAAAGAACGAACACUCUGAAAUAAUUCUAAGUAAGGAAAAAUUUGAAAAUGGCCCAAGUCUGAUCGAGGAAGUCGAGCCAGACUCGUACUGAUGUUACGAAAAAAUGGGUCGGGUCUUUUCACAAAGCCCAUAAAUACCAAGAGAAAAGAGUGAGUCUUUGUGUUGAAGAAACACAAGAUGUAUGUGAUUGAGAGCAAAACAGCAGCUAUAGGAUGUAUGAUACUUUCGUUAUGUUGUUUGGGAAGUUGGCCUGCGAUUUUGACUCUUUUGGAGAGAAGAGGUCGUCUUCCUCAACAUACUUUUCUUGAUUUCACAACCGCUAACCUCUUGGCCGCGAUCGUGAUCGCAUUUACACUCGGUGAGGUUGGAAAAAGCACGUUUCAAAUGCCUGACUUCACCACUCAGCUCCUUCAAGUUUGGUCUCAUCUUCUUUAGAUUCCUUAAUUACAUAGGCCACGCCAUUUUUGCGUUUGUGAUUGUUUUAUUGAAGGAAUCACUUGUGUAGGAUAAUUGGCCGUCGGUGUUGCUUGCGGUCGUUGGCGGUGUGCUUUUAAGCGUUGGGAAUUUAGCGACUCAAUACGCUUUAGCGUUUGUCGGUUUACCGGUUACCGAAGUUAUAACCGCAAGCAUCACCGUUGUCAUUGGUAUGUUUCCUCUUUCACCUAAAAACGCCUCAAUUGGUUCAACGCCAUCUCCGCGUUUGCGUUAAGGUGGUGAAAUUAAAUUUUUAUAAAUAAAGUAGACUUUGGUCUCUAUUCCUUGCGCCACGUCACAAUGGAGGGAGGGGCAAAUCGCGCCACGUAAGCGCUCAACUUAAACUUCUCGGAAUGGGCCUACGACCAGUGCCGUCCCAUACUUUUGGGAGGCUUAAAGCCUGAAAAAAAAUGUGGCCUCCAAUACAAAAAUUUGUGGUGCAAAAAUAAUCAAUUGGUGACAAUUCGUCAUGUGAGAGUGUUGUUAAAGGGUGAGGUCUUGGGUUCGAGUAACGCCAAGCGCACCAAUAAACUAUAUGGGAGAGUCAGUGAAGACUCACAUGUGAGAGGUUAGGAUCGGUGCUCUGCAGGGCCAGUCUGGAGCCUAUGAAACAUGUAGUUACCAUGGGGCAGGUUGUUACAAUAAGUGAAAAUACCUAGGAAUUUUGCUAGAGAAAGGUUCGAACUAGUAGCCAAAAGGUUAAAUUUUGGAUUACUUCACCAUUAAACCAAACAAAUAUUUUGAAAAAUGUGGCCUUCUAAUCACACUUUUAUUUUGUGCCUAAAUCAAAUGCUUUAUGUGCCUUAUAGAAGGAACGGGCCUGCCUACGACGACAAUGAAAUAGUUAGUAGUCUAAUGUUUUCUCCACCUGCGUUUCCGCUAUUCCUGUUGAGAUUCCCUGCAACCCUCAGACAACAGCUUCAGGUUUCUGUAAGGCUUAGCCUAGACGAUGAGACGGUUGUCUAUACUUCUAACUAUUAAAUCAGUCCUUCAAUCUCUCUCACAGCGAUGAAUUCAAUAGCUUCCUUCCCAAAAGUUCCGAUGAAAUCCCUGAAAAAACAUUAUAUAAUAACCGUCUGAGAAAUCUCCAAAUCCAGCUUCUUCAACAGAAUAUAAUCUCUUUCUUACUACAAAACCUGCAACAAUGGUAUCGUACCGAAUUUUUCUGAUGUUAACAAAGGUCGUUGUUCCGAUACCGUAGUCACACGCCUUCUGCUGAGUCUAGGAAGCCCGAGACAUCAACAAAGGAGGGGGAUGGGUGUUGACAUGCUCCUUAUUGAUGAAAAGGAAACCCUUAUCCAAGGGUCUAUCAGCGAACAUUGGCUUAACACAUUCCGACAUCUGCUGAGAGAAGGUGCAACUUAUGAGAUUAGCGGAUUGAUGUUUUAAGUAGCAACACGGAAAUGAAGUUCUCAGAUUCAAAAGAAUCGAUACACUUCACAAACUAUACUACGUUUGUUGAGAGGACCGAAUCACGUGCUUCAAUUCCCUUGGAGCGCUUUACGUUAUGCAGCGUUAAUGUCUUUGGCAAAUACUAAUAGUCAGUUACCUGGUGAUGGAAAGCUUGGAACAUGCAAUGAAACGUGAUGCUCCAUUGGUAGCAAAUAUCUUGGAGGCGCUGUUAACUGUGAUUCUCCUCAUAUUACUGAUCCAAGAGCUGGGGCUUGGUGUCUCUUCAUGCAUUGAGAGCUACCUAGAAGAGGCUGGUGUGUCACCCGAGGACGUAACAAGAAUUAACUUUCAGGCUUCCGAAAUUUUGUAAAAAAAAGGUUUCCAUUUAUUUGUCUGAAUGUUUUUUCAGGUAAACUACAUCUAUGCGCAUGCAACUUCCACUCUUGCUGGUGAUCUUGCUGAGAUCAAUGCCUUAAAAAAGGUGUUCAAAGCACUUCAGGGAUCAAAAUCAAUGCCACUAAGGAGCAUUGAGAUCACACAAGUUCAAAGGUUGCAAAUGAAAGUUCAUAAAUAUCUCCAUGAGCAGUUUGAGGUAUUGAAUUCACCUGCAUAGCAGCUAAAGAAAUUAACCUUCUUCAUUGCUGAUUUCAAACCAGGAAGAGUAUGAAUUUUUGUUAGUGGUUUAAGCCUGGUUCAUGAAUUGUAGUUAACUUUUAUACCAAAACAUGUUGCAUAUAUGUUUCGGUUAAAGAAGAACCGGGUUAUAUUGUGGAAAAGGAUGCUGCAACCUACAAGUCUUCUAUCUUGAUUUUUAAUUUUUUAUGAGACUGAUAUGAUGGUCUCUUAGAGACAGUGCGUGUAUAAAUAUAGUUUCUCAUUACGUAUGAAGUAAGGUUUCUCAUUACGAAAAUCAUUUUUCAGAUUGUGUAUAAAGUAUAGUUCUUUACGUAAAUCAUUGUUUUUAGAUUCUCAUGUUUUGCCUUUCUUCAGCUUUUUGAUUUGAAUAAAGUCAAACUCAUAUGGUGAGAUUUUUUUUUCAUCGAAACAGAGAUUAUAUUAACUUGAUGGAAUACAUGAUUGGGACACAGAAGCCGGCAAGCCACAUAGCUUCCGGAGACUAAGCCAGCGGAUGAAAGAGCCAUCCCUGGAGACUUUAGCCGGCGAACAACAGACAUGUUCCCGGAACCAAAAGAAAAAACGUUAGAGCUAGGAUGAAACAAACUCAGAACAGAUCCAACAAUACAAUAACUGAACAAUGUUAAAACUGGAAGGGACAAAAAAGAGAAGAAGGAUAAAGUCAACAAAGAACAAACUUAUUAAUGGAGUUCAAGGCUACACUCUUUAUUAUGCUCCAAACGUCACCACAACAUACCACUUAAGAAGCCACGAGCACUUGACAUCUCCAAAGAAGACUCAUGGAAGAGGUCGGUAAACCUGACGCCUUCGACGAACUGAUGAUAAGGAGCCAAAGCCCCAAAACCUUCGAGACGAACCGGAUAUCUUACC